CCUANGGGCGGCAGCAGGCGCGAAAACUUUACAAUGCGGGAAACCGUGAUAAGGGAACUCCGAGUGCCCGUAAAAUCGGGCUGUCCAUCGGUUUAAAUAACCGGUGAAGAAAGGGCCGGGCAAGACCGGUGCCAGCCGCCGCGGUAAUACCGGCGGCUCGAGUGGUGGCCACUAUUACUGGGCUUAAAGCGUUCGUAGCUGGUUUGUUAAGUCUCUGGGGAAAUCUGCCGGCUUAACCGGCAGGCGUUCCAGGGAUACUGGCAGACUAGGGACCGGGAGAGGUGAGGGGUACUCCAGGGGUAGGAGUGAAAUCCUGUAAUCCUUGGGGGACCACCUGUGGCGAAGGCGCCUCACCAGAACGGCUCCGACAGUGAGGGACGAAAGCUGGGGGAGCAAACCGGAUUAGAUACCCUUNUANUC
rnacentral:rRNA from 1 species